rnacentral:rRNA from 1 species
AGUGAACGCUGGCGGUAGGCCUAACACAUGCAAGUCGAACGGCAGCACAGGAGAGCUUGCUCUCUGGGUGGCGAGUGGCGGACGGGUGAGGAAUAGAUCGGAAUCUACUCUGUCGUGAGGGAUAACGUAGGGAAACUUACGCUAAUACCGCAUACGACCUACGGGGGAAAGCAGGGGAACUUCGGGCCUUGCGCGAUUGAAUGAGCCGAUGUCGGAUUAGCUAGUUGGCGGGGUAAAGGCCCACCAAGGCGACGAUCCGUAGCUGGUCUGAGAGGACGAUCAGCCACACUGGAACUGAGACACGGUCCAGACUCCUACGGGAGGCAGCAGUGGGGAAUAUUGGACAACGGGCGCAAGCCUGAUCCAGCCAUACCGCGUGGGUGAAGAAGGCCUUCGGGUUGUAAAGCCCUUUUGUUGGGAAAGAAAUCCAUCUGGUUAAUACCCGGAUGGGAUGACGGUACCCAAAGAAUAAGCACCGGCUAACUUCGUGCCAGCCGCCGCCGUAA